GACGAACGCUGGCGGCGUGCUUAACACAUGCAAGUCGAACGGAAAGGCCCUGCUUUUGUGGGGUGCUCGAGUGGCGAACGGGUGAGUAACACGUGAGUAACCUGCCCUUGACUUUGGGAUAACUUCAGGAAACUGGGGCUAAUACCGGAUAGGAGCUCCUGCUGCAUGGUGGGGGUUGGAAAGUUUCGGCGGUUGGGGAUGGACUCGCGGCUUAUCAGCUUGUUGGUGGGGUAGUGGCUUACCAAGGCUUUGACGGGUAGCCGGCCUGAGAGGGUGACCGGCCACCUUGGGCCUGAGAUACGGCGCAGACUCCUACGGGAGGCAGCAGUGGGGAAUAUUGCACAAUGGGCGGAAGCCUUAUGCAGCAACGCCGCGUGCGGGAUGACGGCCUUCGGGUUGUAAACCGCUUUCGCCUGUGACGAAGCGUGAGUGACGGUAAUGGGUAAAGAAGCACUGGCUAACUACGUG
rnacentral:rRNA from 1 species